AGACGAAACAAACAACGUUCCUCUCCUUGGAUGGACGCUAUUUGUCAACAGUGCGAUUUAAAAAAGAAAAUUAUUAUGUCGAUAGUGGUGUACCUCCACCUGAGAAAGAGUCCAUGAUAUUAACUAAGGUGGACACGCUGCUUUAGAUUUCGAGUGGAAUAAUAAUUCCAUUCGUAUGCUUCGCCGCAUAGAGUACUUCCUGGACCUUCGAAACAAUGUUAUCUAUUUUGAGACACUCCUCAUAUGAUGGAGAUGUGACGAUGAGCCUAUCCAUCAGGGUGAGUAUCAUUCCCUGCUGGAGCCAUAUUGGUAAAAAGUUAGAAUGUUGCCAGCCUGUACCUAAGCCACUUCUGGUCCAGUCUCUUAAUUCUUCUCUGAACUAAAGUAGAAGGCUGUUUCAGAGUAAGGCAGUUGCAAAAGGUUUAUCUUAUUAAUUUAAGAGAAAGAGUUUCUAGUGCAAUAUAUGCCGGAGUUGGAGGACCCGAAAUCUUCUUAUCGACUUUUUGGAAUUUGGAACAGUGUUUUGGCCCUUACCGGAACUAUGAAAUUCCUCAACCCGACACUAUUUGAGUGCUGCUGACCGACAGACUUUAUCCCAUGGUUUUUGGAACACUACUUCUCAGACGCGUUAAAGUUGAUGGGUUCGUCAGGACUCAGAAGUAGCAACACGUAGUACAUAAUUGAUUUCCAUGAUGAACCCAUCUCUUUCAAGUACUGACCUACAAAGAUCCUUUCAUUAAAAUUAUAUUCUAUAGUAAGCUGAAAUACAUAUCGAACUCUUUCAGCCCAAA
rnacentral:lncRNA from 1 species